rnacentral:rRNA from 1 species
UAGUCUGGGAUACCACUUGGAAACAGGUGCUAAUACCGGAUAAGAAAGCGGAUCGCAUGAUCAGCUUUUAAAAGGCGGCGUAAGCUGUCGCUAUGGGAUGGCCCCGCGGUGCAUUAGCUAGCUGGUAAGGUAAAGGCUUACCAAGGCGAUGAUGCAUAGCCGAGUUGAGAGACUGAUCGGCCACAUUGGGACUGAGACACGGCCCAAACUCCUACGGGAGGCAGCAGCA